AGAGUUUGAUCCUGGCUCAGAUUGAACGCUGGCGGAACGCUUUACACAUGCAAGUCGAACGGUAACGCGGAGAGAAGCUUGCUUCUCUCCGGCGACGAGUGGCGAACGGGUGAGUAAUACAUCGGAACGUGUCCGCUCGUGGGGGACAACCAGCCGAAAGGUUGGCUAAUACCGCAUGAGUUCUACGGAAGAAAGAGGGGGACCCGCAAGGGCCUCUCGCGAGCGGAGCGGCCGAUGACUGAUUAGCCGGUUGGUGAGGUAACGGCUCACCAAAGCAACGAUCAGUAGCUGGUCUGAGAGGACGACCAGCCACACUGGGACUGAGACACGGCCCAGACUCCUACGGGAGGCAGCAGUGGGGAAUUUUGGACAAUGGGCGCAAGCCUGAUCCAGCUAUUCCGCGUGUGGGAUGAAGGCCCUCGGGUUGUAAACCACUUUUGUAGAGAACGAAAAGACACCUUCGAAUAAAGGGUGUUGCUGACGGUACUCUAAGAAUAAGCACCGGCUAACUACGUGCCAGCAGCCGCGGUAAUACGUAGGGUGCGAGCGUUAAUCGGAAUUACUGGGCGUAAAGGGUGCGCAGGCGGUUGAGUAAGACAGAUGUGAAAUCCCCGAGCUUAACUCGGGAAUGGCAUAUGUGACUGCUCGACUAGAGUGUGUCAGAGGGAGGUGGAAUUCCACGUGUAGCAGUGAAAUGCGUAGAUAUGUGGAAGAACACCGAUGGCGAAGGCAGCCUCCUGGGACAUAACUGACGCUCAGGCACGAAAGCGUGGGGAGCAAACAGGAUUAGAUACCCUGGUAGUCCACGCCCUAAACGAUGUUAACUAGUUGUUGGGAAGUAAAAUUCUCAGUAACGCAGCCAACGCGAGAAGUUAACCGCCUGGGAAGUACGGUCGCAAGACUAAAACUCAAAGGAAUUGACGGGGACCCGCACAAGCGGUGGAGCAUGUGGUUUAAUU
rnacentral:rRNA from 1 species